rnacentral:rRNA from 1 species
AGACUCCUACGGGAGGCAGCAGUGAGGAAUAUUGGACAAUGGAGGCAACUCUGAUCCAGCCAUGCCGCGUGCAGGAAGACUGCCCUAUGGGUUGUAAACUGCUUUUAUAGAGGAAGAAACCUCCCUUCGUGAAGGGAAUUGACGGUACUCUACGAAUAAGGAUCGGCUAACUCCGUGCCAGCAGCCGCGGUAAUACGGAGGAUCCAAGCGUUAUCCGGAAUCAUUGGGUUUAAAGGGUCCGUAGGCGGACUAAUAAGUCAGUGGUGAAAGUCUGCAGCUCAACUGUAGAAUUGCCAUUGAUACUGUUAGUCUUGAGUCAUUAUGAAGUGGUUAGAAUGAGUGGUGUAGCGGUGAAAUGCAUAGAUAUCACUCAGAAUACCGAUUGCGAAGGCAGAUCACUAAUAAUGUACUGACGCUGAUGGACGAAAGCGUAGGUAGCGAACAGGAUUAGAUACCCUGGUAGUCUACGCCGUAAACGAUGGUUACUAGCUGUUUGGUCGAUUGAGACUGAGUGGCUAAGCGAAAGUGAUAAGUAACCCACCUGGGGAGUACGUUCGCAAGAAUGAAACUCAAAGGAAUUGACGGGGGCCCGCACAAGCGGUGGAGCAUGUGGUUUAAUUCGAUGAUACGCGAGGAACCUUACCAGGGCUUAAAUGUAGUCUGACAGAUUUGGAAACAGAUUUUUCUUCGGACAGAUUACAAGGUGCUGCAUGGUUGUCGUCAGCUCGUGCCGUGAGGUGUCAGGUUAAGUCCUAUAACGAGCGCAACCCCUGUGGUUAGUUGCCAGCGAGUCAAGUCGGGAACUCUAGCCAGACUGCCGGUGCAAACCGUGAGGAAGGUGGGGAUGACGUCAAAUCAUCACGGCCCUUACGUCCUGGGCCACACACGUGCUACAAUGGUAGGGACAGAGAGCAGCCACUUCGCGAGAAGGAGCGAAUCUUCAAACCCUAUCACAGUUCGGAUCGCAGUCUGCAACUCGACUGCGUGAAGCUGGAAUCGCUAGUAAUCGGAUAUCAGCCAUGAUCCGGUGAAUACGUUCCCGGGCCUUGUACACACCGCCCGUCAAGCCAUGGAAGCUGGGGGUACCUGAAGUCCGU